UAGGGAAUCUUCCGCAAUGGGCGAAAGCCUGACGGAGCAAUGCCGCGUGAGUGAAGAAGGCCUUCGGGUCGUAAAACUCUGUUAUAAGAGAAGAACAAAUUGUAGAGUAACUGCUACAGUCUUGACGGUAUCUUAUCAGAAAGCCACGGCUAACUACGUGCCAGCAGCCGCGGUAAUACGUAGGUGGCAAGCGUUGUCCGGAUUUAUUGGGCGUAAAGGGAGCGCAGGUGGUUUCUUAAGUCUGAUGUGAAAGCCCACGGCUUAACCGUGGAGGGUCAUUGGAAACUGGGAAACUUGAGUACAGAAGAGGAAUGUGGAACUCCAUGUGUAGCGGUGGAAUGCGUAGAUAUAUGGAAGAACACCAGUGGCGAAGGCGACAUGCUGGUCUGUUACUGACACUGAGGCUCGAAAGCGUUGGGAGCAAACAGG
rnacentral:rRNA from 1 species